UUUGAAGACCAUCCUCCUCAUCAAUGAAGACUCAUGAAGAGGACUGCGCUUGAGGUCAAGAGGUUUCCCACAGCAACCUGAGUGUUCCGAUUCUUAUUUCUAUUGGGUUUCCUAUUAUGGGUAUCUGGAAAACUUUAUCUGCAUCUUCAAGAUAGUCACCAUUCUGAACGACCAACAAGCACCAACGAAUUGAUUCCAUCCUAAAGGUUACUGAUGAAUUCUGUGGAAGCUGCGUCACACCCACUGACAUAUUGAUUAUGGAAAUGGGUCCUACGGUACUCAUCUGCACUGGGAUAAAUAGGCGUUUCAUUCAUAGUUUUUUUUUUUUUUUUUUUUUUUUUUUUUUUUAGGAAUUCUAAAUCUUUGCAUAUUAGUCCCCUAUUCGAUGUGCAUAACUUCAGAUGGUACUACAUUUAGCAAAUGCAGAAGAUAGCUAUUAUUGUACUAGUUUGUAUAGACUUUGAUAUAGAGGUUUUCGUCAUCUAGAUUCUGCCUUCCUACUCCUAUUAUACAUCCAUUGCAUGUCGUAAAGUCCACAGAAAUCGCUUCAGUUUCAUUUGUGGUUGACAGUCUUCAGAUUUAUACACUACUUGCCUUCUAGCAUCUAUGCUGCAGACAAACUUUAUAUCUCGGAACAAUGCCCAAGUCAAGUCAUGCUUAAUUAACUACUACCAGAAUGUACACACAUCACAACUAGUCUGCGUAUGGUUUUGCAAGAGGGCUUCUGCAAGAGCAUUAGGAUUGUGAGAUAUCAAGACUACUAAUCUGCUUGAGGGCUUGAGUAAGAGGAACUCUGAGAG